GGCCUCGUAGCUCAGCUGGUAGAGUGUACGCGAUAUAAAAGCAUAGGUAACUUCCAUAGGUGGGUUCGAAUCCCACCGAGACUA
rnacentral:tRNA from 1 species